GUAUAUUAACAAAACAAAGUGUAGAUGGUCUCGGCACUACACAUAAAAUAACCUAUUUGCAAAGCCUAUAUUGCUCUCCAACAUCAAAGUCUUGUGGUUCAACAUUAAUAGAUAGUGUAUAGCAGCGGUUCCCAAAUUGUGCGUUACGGUCUUUCGAAAAAAAAAGAUUCUGAGUCACUGGCCACUGCUAUAUAGUGUACACACCGAAUUCAAUACCGGUCGGCGCGCGCGAUAUCAUGUUAUGCGAGCGGUGUGCGAUAUUGUAUUAAUUAAGAAAAAAAAAAGCGGUGUAUCCGAAUUGCAUGCCAAAAAAAUAAAUGUUAAUUGGAACGUUCAUCUUAUAAAGGGGUUCGUCCGAAUUGCAUGCCAUUUCUUAUCGAGGUCUAUUCGAAUUGCGUGCCGUAUAUAAUUUUCAUAUCAACGCCGAAAAUAAAAAACUGCGCUAUUAUCACGAGUGCCGUAUGUAGUGUAUAGUAUAUAAUUAUUUUAAUAGAUAUUAAAACAAAUGGGUUUUCUAAGUUGCAUAAUAUUAGUACGCAUUAGAACGUU